AUACGUAGGGGGCGAGCGUUGUCCGGAAUGAUUGGGCGUAAAGGGCGCGUAGGCGGCGCGGUAAGUCUGGAGUGAAAGUCCUGCUUUCAAGGUGGGAAUUGCUUUGGAUACUGCCGCGCUUGAGUGCAGGAGAGGUUAUCGGAAUUCCCGGUGUAGCGGUGAAAUGCGUAGAGAUCGGGAGGAACACCAGUCGCGAAGGCGGGUAACUGGACUGCAACUGACGCUGAGGCGCGAAAGUGUGGGGAGCAAACAGGAUUAGAUACCCUGGUAGUCCACACUGUAAACGAUGAAUGCCAGGUGUAGGGGGUAUCGACCCCUUCUGUGCCGCAGUCAACGCAAUAAGCAUUCCGCCUGGGGAGUACGGCCGCAAGGUUGAAACUCAAAUGAAUUGACGGGG
rnacentral:rRNA from 1 species